rnacentral:rRNA from 1 species
UAGGGAAUCUUCGGCAAUGGGGGGAACCCUGACCGAGCAACGCCGCGUGAGUGAAGAAGGUUUUCGGAUCGUAAAGCUCUGUUGUUAAGGAAGAACGAGUGUGAGAAUGGAAAGUUCAUACUGUGACGGUACUUAACCAGAAAGGGACGGCUAACUACGUGCCAGCAGCCGCGGUAAUACGUAGGUCCCGAGUGUUGCCCGGAUUUAUUGGGCGUAAAGCGAGCGCAGGCGGUUAGAUAAGUCUGAAGUUAAAGACAGUGGCUCAACCAUUGUAGGCUUUGGAAACUGUUUAACUUGAGUGCAAGAGGGGAGAGUGGAAUUACCUGUGUAGCGGUGAAAUGCGUAGAUAUAUGGAGGAACACCGGUGGCGAAAGCGGCUCUCUGGUCUGUAACUGACGCUAAAGCUCGAAAGCGUGGGGCGCGAACAGG